rnacentral:rRNA from 1 species
AUUGAACGCUGGCGGCAGGCCUAACACAUGCAAGUCGGACGAGCGGCGGACGGGUGAGUAAUGUCGGGGAAACUGCCUGAUGGAGGGGGAUAACUACUGGAAACGGUAGCUAAUACCGCAUAACAUCAGAUGUGCCCAGAUGGGAUUAGCUGGUUGGUAAGGUAACGGCUCACCUAGGCGACGAUCCCUAGCUGGUCUGAGAGGAUGAUCAGCCACACUGGAACUGAGACACGGCCCAGACUCCUACGGGAGGCAGCAGUGGGGAAUAUUGCACAAUGGGCGCAAGCCUGAUACAGCCAUGCCGCGUGUAUGAAGAAGGCCUUCGGGUUGUAAAGUACUUUCAGUCGGGAGGCGUUACCGACAGAAGAAGCACCGGCUAACUCCGUGCCAGCAGCCGCGGUAAUUC